GGUCCGGUAGCUCAGUGGAAGAGUGCCUGCCUGUCACGCAGGAGGUCGGCGGUUCAAUUCCGUCCCGGACAG
rnacentral:tRNA from 1 species